GUAAGCGUGCGCAGGCGGUUUGUAAGACUGUCGUGAAAUCCCCGGGCUCAACCUGGGAAUGGCGAUGGUGACUGCAAGGCUAGAGUUUGGCAGAGGGGGGUAGAAUUCCACGUGUAGCAGUGAAAUGCGUAGAUAUGUGGAGGAACACCGAUGGCGAAGGCAGCCCCCUGGGUCAAAACUGACGCUCAUGCACGAAAGCGUGGGGAGCAAACAGGAUUAGAUACCCCGGU
rnacentral:rRNA from 1 species